rnacentral:rRNA from 1 species
GACAGAGGGUGCAAACGUUGUUCGGAAUUACUGGGCGUAAAGCGUGUGUAGGCGGCCAAGCAAGUCGGAUGUGAAAGCCCCAGGCUCAACCUGGGAAGUGCACUCGAUACUGCCUGGCUUGAGUUUCGGAGAGGUUGGUGGAAUUCUCGGUGUAGAGGUGAAAUUCGUAGAUAUCGGGAGGAACACCGGUGGCGAAGGCGGCCAACUGGACGAAAACUGACGCUGAGACACGAAAGCGUGGGGAGCAAACAGG